rnacentral:rRNA from 1 species
UAGGGAAUAUUGCACAAUGGGCGAAAGCCUGAUGCAGCAACGCCGCGUGCGCGAAGAAGGCCUUCGGGUUGUAAAGCGCUUUUCGGGGAGAAGAGGAAGGACAGUAUCCCCGGAAUAAGGCUCGGCUAACUACGUGCCAGCAGCCGCGGUAACACGUAGGAGCCAAGCGUUAUCCGAAUUCACUGGGCGUAAAGCGCGUGUAGGCGGUCUUACAAGUUGGGUGUGAAAGCUCCUGGCUCAACUAGGAGAGGACGUUCAAUACUGUGAGACUAGAGGACGGCAGAGGAAGGUGGAAUUCCCGGUGUAGUGGUGAAAUGCGUAGAUAUCGGGAGGAACACCAGAGGCGAAGGCGGCCUUCUGGGCCGAUCCUGACGCUCAGACGCGAAAGCUAGGGGAGCGA